UCUUUUGCAGAAACAUUCAUACUGUGUUUGUGGUAUUUGAGGAGGAGGUCGUGUCUUUGCGAUCACUGUCUCAUCAUGCGAUUGACCCCCUGGUGGCAGUUAUCACGCAGCACAUUGUAACUGGAGCCUCCAGUCUUCACAAAGUCAUCAACUGUCUUUCGGCCAGCGAAAUCUUUCUCAGAAACAACACCUCCACC